CAGAAAUCAUCUCCCGGCCUAUGUAUAGGAACUUAGUGACGAAACAGCAAACCCGCGGGAGAGAAAAAGAAACUAUGCGCACUACGAAUCAGACCAAGCCGUUCUGAUCGGCCACGGCAUAAAGUUGCUAGGGUAGUCGGGUUGGUUGUAUCUGGAUCCCCGCUCCAUUCUCCGUCUUUGGUGGGCUUCGUUCGCGGCAUCUCAAGGUAGAAAGAAUCUUUUUCUUGUUCUCUUUCCCAUUCCUUUUCCCCUCGAUAGUAGUGUUCGUUCGGUUCUUCCGCGAUCUUGAUUUCUUUUUGCUCGAUUUCUUCUUUCUUUUUUUUUUGUUGGAAACGGGAGACGCAGAUGCCCGCGCUUGCUUUGGUCUGCUGUUGUGAUCUUGCCUUACUCCAUUUCUAAACCAGUUAUUGUUCUUGUUCUGACAGGGAAGAUCACUGGGGUUCUGAUUUGUUGUUGAUUUUAAGAUCUUUGUAUGGCAGAAUGAUUGUGGUAUGGGGUUGUGUUUGAUGUCAGCCAUACCUCGGUGGAGGUCCUCUCUUGGACCAUCUGUUCUUGAUGCUGCAGGGUUGGAUUCCAGUUGACGGCGAGUGCUUACAAUCCCAAUCCUGAAGAGAAGAUAUAUGAAAUGCUUAACUAUGAUUAAUCUUGCUUUUUUAUUGUCAUAGUUUUUCUUUUAUCUUCGCUUUGUCUUAAUUGUUUUUACAUUAGUUAAUGAUAUACGAUCAAUUAUCAUUCGAUACAUGAUCUCUGUGGUAUCCGUAUGAUGACCAAGCUGGCACGGGAAAGACAAGACCUGCCCCUUGAUUUGUCUGUGUGGACAUAAAGUCCAAAACAAACAUUUUCUUUCUAUUGUCUAAAUGGAUAAAGAGUUCGAGAGAAAUGUUUAGAGGCUUUCUAUUAGCUAAGGAAAUAUUUUUUAGAAUAUUUUUUUCUCUCUUUUUACCCGGUA
rnacentral:lncRNA from 1 species